GGAGAGGUGCCGGAGUGGUCGAACGGGGCGGUCUCGAAAACCGUUGAGCCCGAAAGGGUUCCCAGGGUUCGAAUCCCUGUCUCUCCGCCA
rnacentral:tRNA from 1 species